AACGUAGGUGGCAAGCGUUAUCCGGAUUUACUGGGCGUAAAGCAUGUGCAGACGGGUUGGUAAGUGGUGUAUGAAAGCGUUCGGCUUAACCGAGCAAGCGUAUGCCAGACUGCCAGUCUUGAGAGUGGGAGAGGUAAGCGGAAUUCCUGGUGUAGCGGUGAAAUGCGUAGAUAUGCGGAGGAACACCGAUGGCGAAGGCAAUCCCCUGGGCCUGCACUGACGCUCAUGCACGAAAGCGUGGGGAGCAAACAGG
rnacentral:rRNA from 1 species